GAUGAACGCUGGCGGCAUGCCUUACACAUGCAAGUCGAACGGUAACAGGUUAAGCUGACGAGUGGCGAACGGGUGAGUAAUGUAUCGGAACGUGCCCAGUCGUGGGGGAUAACUACUCGAAAGAGUGGCUAAUACCGCAUACGACCUGAGGGUGAAAGCGGGGGACCGUAAGGCCUCGCGCGAUUGGAGCGGCCGAGAGCAGAUUAGCUAGUUGGUGGGGUAAAAGCCCACCAAGGCGACGAUCUGUAGCUGGUCUGAGAGGACGACCAGCCACACUGGAACUGAGACACGGUCCAGACUCCUACGGGAGGCAGCAGUGGGGAAUAUUGGACAAUGGGCGCAAGCCUGAUCCAGCCAUGCCGCGUGUGUGAAGAAGGCCUUCGGGUUGUAAAGCACUUUCAGUAGGGAGGAAGGGUUAAGUGUUAAUAGUACUUAACUUUGACGUUACCUACAGAAGAAGCACCGGCUAACUCUGUGCCAGCAGCCGCAGUAA
rnacentral:rRNA from 1 species